GACGUAGGAGGCGAGCGUUAUCCGGAUUCACUGGGCGUAAAGCGCAUGUAGGCGGAUGUCUAAGUCGUGUGUUAAAGCCCCUGGCUCAACUGGGGGGAGGUCAUGCGAGACUGGAUGACUUGAGGGCAACAGAGGCACGUGGAACUCCCGGUGUAGCGGUGGAAUGCGUAGAGAUCGGGAAGAACACCCGUGGCGAAGGCGGCGUGCUGGGUUGCAACUGACGCUGAGAUGCGAAAGUGUGGGGAGCAAACGGGG
rnacentral:rRNA from 1 species